GCCGGGCUUGGUGGCGCGCGCCUGUGGUCCCAGCUACCCAGGAGGCUGAGGCUGGAGGAUGGCUUGAGCCCAGGAGUUCUGGGCUGUCCUGUGCUAUGCGGAUCGGGUGUCCACACGAAGUUGGGCAUCAAUGUGGUGACCUCCUGGGAGCGGGGACCACCAGGUUGCCUAAGGAGGGGUGAACCGGCCCAGCUCGGAAAUGGAGCAGGUCAGAGCUCCUGUGAUGACGAGCAUUGGGAUUGUGCCUGUGAGGAGCCACUGUGCUCCAGCCUGGGCAACACAGCGAGCCCCCGUCUUUA
rnacentral:SRP_RNA from 1 species